GCGUGUGUGGUUUAAGGGUAAAAUCCAUCGUUGCCAUCGAUGGGCUCCCGGUUCGAGUCCGGGCACACGCA
rfam:Magnaporthe poae ATCC 64411 unplaced genomic scaffold supercont1.1, whole genome shotgun sequence.